rnacentral:rRNA from 1 species
UACAGAGGGUGCGAGCGUUGUCCGGAAUCACUGGGCGUAAAGGGCGCGUAGGUGGCUCGGCAAGUCCAUGGUGAAAGCUCGAUGCUUAACAUCGAGUCGGCCACGGAGACUGCGGAGCUGGAGCACUGUAGAGGCAGAUGGAAUUCCGGGUGUAGCGGUGGAAUGCGUAGAGAUCCGGAAGAACACCGGUGGCGAAGGCGGUCUGCUGGGCAGUUGCUGACGCUGAUGCGCGACAGCGGUGGGGAGCAAACGAGGAU